rnacentral:rRNA from 1 species
AGACGUCUACAUUAGAUACCCGGGUAGUCCCAGCCGUAAACUAUGCGCGUUAGGUGUAUCGGUGACCACGAGUCACCGAGGUGCCGAAGGGAAACCGUGAAACGUGCCGCCUGGGAAGUACGGUCGCAAGGCUGAAACUUAAAGGAAUUGGCGGGGAGCACCACAACGGGUGGAGCCUGCGGUUUAAUUGGACUCAACGCCGGGAAGCUCACCGGAUAGGACAGCAGAAUGAUUGCCGGGCUGAAGACUCUGCAUGACUAGCUG